rnacentral:tRNA from 2 species
GUCAAUUUGGCCGAGUGGUCUAAGGCGUCCGACUCAAGUGCUUUCGGAUCUCGCAAGAGGCGAGGGUUCGAAUCCCUCAGUUGACA